rnacentral:rRNA from 1 species
GAGCCUACGGGAGGCAGCAGUGGGGAAUAUUGGACAAUGGGCGCAAGCCUGAUCCAGCAAUGCCGCGUGGGUGAAGACGGCCUGCGGGUUGUAAAGCCCUUUAGGCGGGGAAGAACGGCCGGGCGCAAAUAGCGCGCGGCUCUGACGUUACCCGCAGAAUAAGCACCGGCUAACUCCGUGCCAGCAGCCGCGGUAAUACGGAGGGUGCGAGCGUUAAUCGGAAUUACUGGGCGUAAAGCGUGCGUAGGCGGUUCGGUCAGUCAGCCGUGGAAGCCCCGGGCUCAACCUGGGAACGGCGGUUGAGACGGCCGGACUAGAGUGGGCUAGAGGAUCGUGGAAUUCCCGGUGUAGCGGUGAAAUGCGUAGAGAUCGGGAGGAACACCGAUGGCGAAGGCAGCGGUCUGGGGCCACACUGACGCUGAGGCACGAAAGCGUGGGGAGCAAACAGGAUUAGAUACCCCUGUAGUCGAC